AAUGGGGAGCAGGAGCUCCUUCAGCACAGUUGCUCUGCCUCUUCUUCCAGGUGUGAGGUCCUCCUUGGCUCUACAUCAGACGUGUGUGUUGAAGAGCGGAAGAAAGUACCAGAAUGAAGGAAUCUGUGAAAUUUGAAUAGAAAAGGUGGUAAGAGCUAAGAUGUAUGGACCCAUCAAAAGCUGGCAGGAGGAACUACUAGAACUCUGACAAAAAAAUUCAGAAGUGCCAGUACUGUUUAGUGGCCUGGGGUUUGGGUUCUGCUUGGGGUGCCUUGCGGCGGACUGGCAUCUCGUCCGGGGUGUGUCCCCUCCCCCUCCAGCCUUGCGCCCUCUGUUGCCGGGUUAAACUCCGGCUCACUGCAACCCCGCUUGGGACAAGCGGUUUCAGCAAGUGUGUGCGUGUGUGAAUUUCUAUUACAUGCCUUUGCUUGCUUUGAUUUGAGUGUGAUUACUAGUUAUGAGUUAAAUAUUUCAGUGCAUUUUCAGAUGUGUGAUGUUCCUUCUUGCCCCAUAUCUCAAAAAAGCAAAAAUCAGUGUCAUACACACAACUGUGACAUUUCACAGUUAUCACAAAGCGUAUAAUGAUCAAAGGUCUUUCUCUGCUCUGUUUUUUAUCAAACAAGAUUGUUGUUCAAAGAAGAUUUUCUGAAAGAAACUUGUAAGUCCACACUGCUUCAUUUCCC
rnacentral:lncRNA from 1 species